rnacentral:sRNA from 1 species
AAAGUUCUCUGACAUCCAAAUCCGAAGGUUAAAGAGACUAGGCAUUGAAAAGACUGACCCUACAACACUGACAGAUGAAGAGAUAAACAGAUUUGCAAGAUUGGACAUUGAUCCAGAAACCAUAACUUGGCAAAGAGUGUUGGAUACCAAUGAUAGAUUCCUGAGGAAGAUCACGAUUGGACAGGCUCCAACGGAGAAGGGUCACACACGGACGGCCCAGUUUGAUAUCUCUGUGGCCAGUGAAAUUAUGGCUGUCCUGGCUCUCACCACUUCUCUAGAAGACAUGAGAGAGAGACUGGGCAAAAUGGUGGUGGCAUCCAGUAAGAAAGGAGAGCCCGUCAGUGCCGAAGAUCUGGGGGUGAGUGGUGCACUGACAGUGCUUAUGAAGGACGCAAUCAAGCCCAAUCUCAUGCAGACACUGGAGGUGAGCAGAGUGACUCCUGCCUUCUUGAAUUGGUUUUGGACAGUCAGAGCAGAGUGGUUAUAAAGCA